rnacentral:rRNA from 1 species
CAGCCGCCGCGGGAAUACGUAGGUGGCAAGCGUUGUCCGGAAUUAUUGGGCGUAAAGCGCGCGCAGGCGGUUUCUUAAGUCUGAUGUGAAAGCCCCCGGCUUAACCGGGGAGGGUCAUUGGAAACUGGGAGACUUAGAGUGCAGAAGGGGAGAGUGGAAUUCCAUGUGUAGCGGUGAAAUGCGUAGAUACUGGGAGGAACACCAGUGGCGAAGGCGGCUUUCUGGACUGUAACCGACGCUGAGGCUCGAAAGCGUGGGGAGCGAACAGGAUUAGAUACCCGUGUAGUCCCUGUCUCUUAUA